rnacentral:rRNA from 1 species
UACGAAGGGGCUAGCGUUGCUCGGAAUCACUGGGCGUAAAGGGUGCGUAGGCGGGUCUUUAAGUCAGGGUGAAAUCCUGGAGCUCAACUCCAGAACUGCCUUUGAUACUGAGGAUCUUGAGUCCGGGAGAGGUGAGUGGAACUGCGAGUGUAGAGGUGAAAUUCGUAGAUAUUCGCAAGAACACCAGUGGCGAAGGCGGCUCACUGGCCCGGUACUGACGCUGAGGCACGAAAGCGUGGGAGCAAACAGG